UAGGAAGUGGUGUAGUGGAAGCACCCAGAGUUUUGAUCUCUGCAGGACGGGUUCAAAUCCCUUCUUUCUAA
rnacentral:tRNA from 1 species